GUGGCUCAAUGGUAGAGCGUUCGACUCAAAUACCAAAGGUCGCGGGUUCGAAUCCCAGCC
rnacentral:tRNA from 1 species